rnacentral:misc_RNA from 1 species
AAUGAUCGUUCCGCAGCUCAAGUUUUCAACUUUGUAGAACCGCUUAUUCUAGAAUCAUGGCUGACGACGAUUUGGAAUCAAUCCGUGCUCGCCGCAUGGCCCAGCUUCAGCAACAAUAUGGGGGAUCUGGUGGUGGGCCCUCUCAAGAAGAGCAGCAGCAGGCUCAGAAACAGGCUCAGGAUAUGAAGAAUUCCAUCCUCAGUCAGGUGCUGGACCAGUCUGCCAGGACUAGAUUAAACACAAUAGCCGUGGCAAAACCUGAGAAGGCACAAAUGGUGGAGAACCUCCUUGUACAGAUGACACGUACAGGACAGAUUCAGACAAAGCUCGAUGAGCAUCAACUGAUUGGUCUUCUGGAGAAAGUGAGUGAACAGACUCAGAAGAAGACAACAGUCAAGUUUGACCGGCGAAGGUGUCAGAUGGAUGAUUCAGAUGAUGACAUGUAACUGAAAGAACUGUGAGAAGAAGUUGAGAAGAUUGUAACACUGACCCAGAGCACGCAAGAUGGCACCUCAUCUGUGUUCAGGCAGCAAACUACCUGUGAUAUUCACAGGGCAUUCUGAUUGGACAGUUUGACCUUAGCCCCUGGAAACUGUCAAGUGCUUCUCUAUUUCCCAUUGGGCAUUUAAAUAUCCAUGGUAACCAGUAUCAACCACAUGUGAAUUAUGCAAUGAUAAUGGAUGGUUUAGUAUUGAAUAUAUUGGAGCUCUGCAGAUGUUAUAUCAUAUGAAAUUCUCCAGUACUUUUAAUAGAUCAGCUUGCAUUAUUUGAAAAGUAUAUAUCAUCUUAUAGAUGAUGUAACAAGACUUCCAUUGUUAUGGACAUUGUAAUUUAUUUCCUGUCUCGAAUAAGUUCUCUUGUGGGUGAGCCCAUACCGCCAUCUCUUGUGGAUGAGUCCAUUCUGCCAUCACUUCUGGGUGAGUCCAUUCUGCCAUCACUUGUGGAUGAGUCCAUUCUGCCAUUACAAUUAUUCCAGGUAUCCUGCUCUACAUCUGUAUCCAGCACUGCCAUGUUGUCCAUCUAAUUGUACAUCAAAACCACUCUGCAGCUUGUGUACAUGUACUCAUAGCCACUGUAUUGUGAAUAAGGGUACUUGACAUGUCUGUAACAAUACGUACCGCCAUCACCUGUGAAUACAUUUGUCCAAUUUGCAGUCUGUUUUUAACUUACUAAUCUAAAUUUCUUGUGCAAUAUCUGGAUAGCAUUGCAACCAUUUGCUAUACACAUUGCUCUGAUAUGAAUCAGCAUAGGCUCCAAACAAGCAUAGGCUCCAAACAAGCAUAGGAGCCAAACCAGCGUAGGCUCCAAACCAGCAUAGGAUCCACACCAGCAAGAAGAGGUGAGAAGUGAAAUUUUAUUAGCUGCCUCAAUACAGGCACAUGUCACCAUUAUACUACAGAGCUGUUGUAUUCAUAGGUGAUCGAGGAACAUAUUCCAAAGCUUCAAAGUAUUGACUAUGCACCAUUGUAUGAGAGAUGAAGUUAGUUCAGAGGUAUCAUUGUCAUGAUUAUUGGUUUAGUCUCCUUGUGUAUAAUGUCCUGGGGGGACUAGCAGGUGCCGCUUUACUCAGUGAGUCAGUCUCAGAAAUACAAAGUAUAUGUUGUGUAUAAUGGCACCUAGCUCAUUUGACAAAUUGUUCAGUGGUGGGCUAUUGAGUGACCGCUGCCUCACUCAUUACCGGAUUCCUGAGAUUAAUGUCAGUCGUGUGAGCCAGUAGGGAAUGGUACCAUUCAUACACAACUCUUUUUUAUUACUAUUUCUGCUGGAAUAGUUAUUGUAAUGGCGAUAAUUUGUGGCACUGGAUAAAUCUGGAAGUUGGUUAUGAUUGCAAAUUUAAGUAAUUCUACAUUCAGUAUUUCAGUUAAUGUAUGAGGUGAUUGCCUUGGUAACACGAUGUAUGAUUGUCUGAAUCAGAAUGUCAUCAAACUUUGUUCAUGCUGUUAACCACUGGUUUGUCCGGACCAGAUUUGGACAAGAGCAUGCCACUGUGAUGUAAAACAACAUUCACCAUGGUUACCUGUUUUUUCUUCGUUCACAAGUUCUGUCUAUAGUUGGUAAUUUUCUCAGCUUGUCCAAAAUAGAAAAGGAUUAUUGAGUGUAUAUGGUGUAUGGAACAUUUUAUAUAUUUUCAUACAUGAUUCAUGUAUUUUACAGUGCUAAUGGGAAAAACCUCAAGCCAUGCCUUGUAUACCCUGAAUAAUAGAAAUAAAGCAGUACUUGUUAUUAUGGGAGUUGUCACCAGCCUAGCAGUAGCAGUGUCUGCCCAUCUCGCUGAAGGCCUGGGUUUAAUUCCCCACAUGUGAAACCCACUGGUGCUGUUCCUUGCAUUUUAGGGGCGGUGGGAUGGCCCAGUGGUUAAAGCGUUCGCUCGUCACGCCGAAGGUCCGGGUUCGAUUCCCCACAUGGGUACAACUUGUGAAGCCCAUUUUUGGUGUCCCCCGUCGGGAUAUUGCUGGAAUAUUGCUAAAAACGGCAUAAAACCAUACUCAGCCAGUCAGCUUUUCAUUCUAUUGCUGGAAUAUUAUUAAAAGUUGGUUUAAAAGCAUGCUUCCACAUUCAAGUCAAUAUUUUAAUCUGCUUUAGUAUUUUAAAGAAACCUUAUGAGUGGUACAUAUCUCUGAAUGCCAGUAGUCUACCUGAUAUCCAUGUAAAUUUACAUGCUAUGUAUGUGUGCCAUUUCAUUGUUCCAUAUUGUUUGAUGAAGAUAUUACAGCCCUAAUAAAUAUGCUUUGUCAUA